AGAACGAACGCUGGCGGCAGGCUUAACACAUGCAAGUCGAACGCGUGUAGCAAUACACGAGUGGCGCACGGGUGAGUAACGCGUGGAUAUCUGCCUUUUGGUUCGGAAUAACCCCGGGAAACUGGGGCUAAUACCGGAUGGUUCCUUCGGGAUAAAGAUUUAUCGCCAAAAGAUGAGUCCGCGUACGAUUAGCUAGUUGGUGAGGUAAUGGCUCACCAAGGCGACGAUCGUUAGCUGGUCUGAGAGGACGAUCAGCCACACUGGGACUGAGACACGGCCCAGACUCCUACGGGAGGCAGCAGUGGGGAAUAUUGGACAAUGGGGGCAACCCUGAUCCAGCCAUGCCGCGUGAGUGAUGAAGGCCUUCGGGUUGUAAAGCUCUUUUGGCGGGACGAUGAUGACGGUACCCGCAGAAUAACGCCCGGCUAACGUUCGCGCCAGCAGCCGC
rnacentral:rRNA from 1 species